GAUGAACGCUAGCGGCAGGCCUAACACAUGCAAGUCGAGGGGUAUAGGAAGCUUGCUUCCUAGAGACCGGCGCACGGGUGCGUAACGCGUAUGCAAUCUACCUUAUACAGGGGAAUAGCCCAGAGAAAUUUGGAUUAAUGCCCCAUGGUAUUAUUGAAUGGCAUCAUUUGAUAAUUAAAGUUCCAACGGUAUAAGAUGAGCAUGCGUCCCAUUAGUUAGUUGGUGUGGUAACGGCACACCAAGACGAUGAUGGGUAGGGGUCCUGAGAGGGAGAUCCCCCACACUGGUACUGAGACACGGACCAGACUCCUACGGGAGGCAGCAGUGAGGAAUAUUGGUCAAUGGACGCAAGUCUGAACCAGCCAUGCCGCGUGCAGGAAGAAGCAUCUAUGGUGUGUAAACUGCUUUUAUACAGGAAGAAACAUCCCGACGUGUCGGGACUUGACGGUACUGUAAGAAUAAGGACCGGCUAACUCCGUG
rnacentral:rRNA from 1 species